rnacentral:rRNA from 1 species
GACGAACGCUGGCGGCGUGCCUAAUACAUGCAAGUUGAGCGCUGAAGGCUGGUACUUGUACCCACUGGAUGAGCAGCGAACGGGUGAGUAACGCGUGGGGAAUCUGCCUUUGAGCGGGGGACAACAUUUGGAAACGAAUGCUAAUACCGCAUAAAAACUUUAAACACAAGUUUUAAGUUUGAAAGAUGCAAUUGCAUCACUCAAAGAUGAUCCCGCGUUGUAUUAGCUAGUUGGUGAGGUAAAGGCUCACCAAGGCGAUGAUACAUAGCCGACCUGAGAGGGUGAUCGGCCACAUUGGGACUGAGACACGGCCCAAACUCCUACGGGAGGCAGCAGUAGGGAAUCUUCGGCAAUGGACGCAAGUCUGACCGAGCGACGCCGCGUGAGUGAAGAAGGUUUUCGGAUCGUAAAACUCUGUUAGUAGAGAAGAACGUUGGUGAGAGUGGAAAGCUCAUCAAGUGACGGUAACUACCCAGAAAGGGACGGCUAACUACGUG